rnacentral:misc_RNA from 1 species
AAGUCGUAACAAGGUAUCCGUAGGUGAACCUGCGGAUGGAUCAUUACUAAAGUAUCCAUCCUACGUUUUGUGAACUGUUUUGGGUUUGAUAGUCAGUGUCCGGUGUGCUGUAAUGGCUGCUGACACUGACUACACUGAAUGUAUACUAAACUGACUGAGAGACUACCAUUGUAGUAACCAAAGAGAACUUUUAGCAACGGAUCUCUUGGCUCUC